rnacentral:rRNA from 1 species
AACGUAGGGUCCGAGCGUUGUCCGGAAUUAUUGGGCGUAAAGGGCUCGUAGGCGGUUUGUCACGUCGGAAGUGAAAUCUUACAGCUUAACUGUGAACUUGCUUUCGAUACGGGCAGACUUGAGGCAUUCAGGGGAGAACGGAAUUCCUGGUGUAGCGGUGAAAUGCGCAGAUAUCAGGAGGAACACCGGUGGCGAAGGCGGUUCUCUGGGAAUGUACUGACGCUGAGGAGCGAAAGUGUGGGGAGCGAACAGG